rnacentral:lncRNA from 1 species
GCUUUUUGUUUCAUUUGGAAUGUUUUUCAGUUCUAGAAUUUAUGUUUGGUUGUGUAGCAUAGAUUCUAGUUCACUGAAGAAAAUCUCAAACUAGAAGUAAACAAUCAUCUUAAAAUCAGUGAAUCUAGGUAUAUUUUGGGACCUAAGACAAGGCUUUCACUCUCCAAAGCAGAUGUCUGUGUCCUUUCUGGCGGGCAUCUAAGGGCUCCAGCAAUACUGAAUCGACUGCAAAUCGCACAUUGAAAACGUUUCCACCUCAGCCUCAGUUUCUGCAAAGCUGCUGCAUUUCCAGUUCACCUUCACUUCCAGAUUUCACAGAGCCCACAAGGAACGUGGCUUGGAGCAAGAUGAAUGGCUAAGGCUCCCUUGAUUCAGUAAGAAUAGCAUUUCCUUUACAUGUUCAUACACAUGAAAGUACCUUUGAAGAAAGGAUUCUUCUGCUUAAAAAUAUAAAACUCAGUGAUUUUUGCAGCGGUGUUACGAAUUUCUAAGCUGCAUAAUGAUGAGAAAAUGUUUGUUUCAUCACUGUUGUUCCAUUAUCUACCACAGUACUUUGCAUGUUGGAGGUUCUCAAUCAGUAUCUAUUUAUUUAUUUAAAUUGUUUUAUUGAGGUCAUACUGGCUUAGAACAUUGUGUAUGUUUCAGGUAUACAUCACUGUAUUUCAGUUUCUGCAUAGACAGCAUUGUGUUCACCACCAACAGUCCAGUUUUUAUCUGUCACCGUACAUAUGUGCCCUUUUACCCUCCCCUUGACCCCUUUCUUCUCUGGUAACCACUAAUCUGUUCUCCUUAUGUAUGUGUUUGUGUGUUUAUCUUCUACGUACAAGUGAAAUCAUAUGGUAUUUGUCUUUCUCUGUCUGAUUAAUUUUGCUUAGUAUAAUACCCUUAAGAUCCAUCCAUGCUGUCACAAAUAGCACAGUUCUGUUUUCUUUUAUGCCUGAGUAGUAGGUCAUUAUAUGUGUGUAUGUAUAUAUAUAUAUAUAUAUAUAUAUAUACAUCACAACUUCUUUAUCCAUUCGUCUGUUGAUGGGCACUUGGGUUGUUUCCACAUCUUGGCCAUUCUGACUAAUGCUGCAGUGAACAUAGGGGCAGAUAUAUCUUUUUGACUUAGUGAUUUCAUGUUCUUUGGAAAAAU